rnacentral:rRNA from 1 species
GCCAGACUCCUACGGGAGGCAGCAGUGGGGGAUAUUGCACAAUGGGGGGAACCCUGAUGCAGCGACGCCGCGUGGGUGAAGGAGCGUUUCGGCGCGUAAAGCCCUAUCGGCAGGGAAGAAGGAGGACGGUACCUGACUAAGAAGCCCCGGCUAACUACGUGCCAGCAGCCGCGGUAAUACGUAGGGGGCAAGCGUUAUCCGGAUUUACUGGGUGUAAAGGGGGCGCAGACGGCAGCGCAAGCCAGGAGUGAAAGCCCGGGGCCCAACCCCGGGACUGCUCUUGGAACUGCGCGGCUGGAGUGCAGGAGGGGCAGGCGGAAUUCCUGGUGUAGCGGUGAAAUGCGUAGAUAUCAGGAGGAACACCGGUGGCGAAGGCGGCCUGCUGGACUGCAACUGACGUUGAGGCCCGAAAGCGUGGGGAGCAAACAGGAUUAGAUACCCCAGUACCC